GAGAUUCCCCCAGUAGCGGCGAGCGAACGGGGAGCAGCCCAGAGCCUGAAUCAGUGUGUGUGUUAGUGGAAGCGUCUGGAAAGGCGCGCGAUACAGGGUGACAGCCCCGUACACAAAAAUGCACAUGCUGUGAGCUCGAUGAGUAGGGCGGGACACGUGGUAUCCUGUCUGAAUAUGGGGGGACCAUCCUCCAAGGCUAAAUACUCCUGACUGACCGAUAGUGAACCAGUACCGUGAGGGAAAGGCGAAAAGAACCCCGGCGAGGGGAGUGAAAAAGAACCUGAAACCGUGUACGUACAAGCAGUGGGAGCACGCUUAGGCGUGUGACUGCGUACCUUUUGUAUAAUGGGUCAGCGACUUAUAUUCUGUAGCAAGGUUAACCGAAUAGGGGAGCCGAAGGGAAACCGAGUCUUAACUGGGCGUUAAGUUGCAGGGUAUAGACCCGAAACCCGGUGAUCUAGCCAUGGGCAGGUUGAAGGUUGGGUAACACUAACUGGAGGACCGAACCGACUAAUGUUGAAAAAUUAGCGGAUGACUUGUGGCUGGGGGUGAAAGGCCAAUCAAACCGGGAGAUAGCUGGUUCUCCCCGAAAGCUAUUUAGGUAGCGCCUCGUGAAUUCAUCUCCGGGGGUAGAGCACUGUUUCGGCAAGGGGGUCAUCCCGACUUACCAACCCGAUGCAAACUGCGAAUACCGGAGAAUGUUAUCACGGGAGACACACGGCGGGUGCUAACGUCCGUCGUGAAGAGGGAAACAACCCAGACCGCCAGCUAAGGUCCCAAAGUCAUGGUUAAGUGGGAAACGAUGUGGGAAGGCCCAGACAGCCAGGAUGUUGGCUUAGAAGCAGCCAUCAUUUAAAGAAAGCGUAAUAGCUCACUGGUCGAGUCGGCCUGCGCGGAAGAUGUAACGGGGCUAAACCAUGCAC
rnacentral:rRNA from 1 species